rnacentral:tRNA from 1 species
AGAACUUGGUGUAAUUGGUAGCACUAAGAAAUUUGAGUUCUUAAGUCAGGUUCGAUUCCUGUAGUUCUAG